CAGGAAGCAGGAAAAAAGAUCUGCUCACAUUCCCUGGUCUGGUGAGGCAUUUGGCACCUGCUCCAAUCGAUAUGGGGCUCAGGAAGCAAGGAUGGGAAUCAGGAGCCGGCUUCCAACUACAUGACAAAUGUCACCCACCUGUGCCACCAAUUUCUCAACACUGAAACUCCAAAUGACGCUUGCUGGUCAAAUCUGGAUUAAGCCGUUUUCACUCUAGCUGGAUGAUACAAUGAACGCCUUUGAACCUACAUCCAGCUCAAGAGUUAGAAACGGAUGGUAACUUACAUCCACUCACAUGCUCCUUCCCUGUCCGCCUCUACCUCCCCGGGCCCAAGCCAACCCCAUCUCCAUUCAUUUCCUUGCUGUUUUUUAGUUUUAUUGCCUAUAUAUGGAAAUCUCAAAAUACAUCGUUUGUUUUGGUUAUAUUUAAAUCUUAUAAAAGGACUUGCUUUCUUAGCG
rnacentral:lncRNA from 1 species